GUGCUUCUACUGAUUGCCUCAGGUGUGCUAGUUCCAAAUGUUGGAGCAGUCCACCAAGUUGAUCUGCUUAAUGCACAAAUGACACGGUGGACAAGACUGUAUUCAUAGGAUGGAAACACGGUGUGAGUACCAGGUGCUUCAACAGGGCACAGCAUCCUACUUGUGGCAGCCGAGUUCCCUUGGAAAGUGUACGAGCACAGUUGGAGCCAAGGUUUUCAGAGAGAGGGUGGAAAAAUGAAGUUUAGCAGCUAAUCCAAAGACAGAAGCAAGACUGGAAGAAGAGAUAAUACCCCAAAGGACUCCAGUGGAGCAUGAACAAAAAAAGGAGGUUGUUAGAAGCAACUAUUGCAGCAGGUGCAGGAUGUCCACAGUAUGCCUGCUUGGACAGAAUGGACUGAUUGGUGAUAUUUUCUGAGUCAACCUGGGAAAUUCUUCUGAUUAAUUCAUUGAUUCUAAAGUUUUUUAGUUUUCUGUGGUGUUUUGCUCUAGGAAUGGGCUAUGUCUGGGCUGAUAUAUCAAGUACAAUUGUUCAAUUUACUCAUUCAAGCGACUAACAGAGAACUGAAAAAGCCAAUUACCAAAUGGGAUUCUCUAGCAUC
rnacentral:lncRNA from 1 species